UUGGACACAGACUGGAACUAUACCAUCAACUCUCCUGGGCCUCCAGAUUGCUGGCUGCAGAUCCUGGUACUUCUCAGCCUCCAUAACCCCGGUUAUGGCAAGCCACUGGAGAAUUUUUUAUAAGGUGAGGCCUUUCAGAAGUAAUUAGGUGAGGUCAUGAGGAUGGAGACUCCAUGAUGGGAUUAGUGCUCUUAUAAGAAGAGGAGGAGACAGCAGAGCUUCCUCUCUCUGCCAUGUGAAGACACAGCAAGAAGUCGGCCAUCUGCAAGCCAGGAAGAGGGCCUUCACCAAGAACCAAAUCUGCUGGCACCUUGAUCUUGGACUUCCCAGACUCCAGAACUGUGAGAAGUAAAUGUCUGUUAUUUAAGCUACUUAGUCAAUGUCAAUUUUAUUAUAGCAACUGGAGCUACCCAAGAAGAUCCUGAAUAUAAUUAUGUUGUAUGGACUUAACACAAUGUGUUUAUCCAUUCUUUCCUUGACAAACUUUUGAGUAGUUUCCAGUUUGGUGCUUUUAUGAAUAAAGAUGUUA